UGUGAAGAUUGUUAUACUCUAUUGAGAAGAAUUUAUUGUUUUCUGUUUUCUUAAAACAGAAAAAGUUUUAUGAGGCUUAAUUGAAGUUACAUUUGAUGACAAUUUUUGUCACAUCUGAAUCAAGUUUUGAGUGAGUUCUAUUCGAGUGUUAAUCUGGAACGAACAUUCCAGAAGUGUUUUGUGUUAUUCAUCAAUUUUAAGAUUCUUGCCGCUGACUUGUGGAAAGUGAAAACCGGUCAUCAAAUCAGGAUCAACUCGUCGUUCAUCAUCGACGCUGUGUGAGUGGUACUUAAACUACUGUCAUCUACUAACCAAACCAACAAAUCAAACAACAGAACACUGACGUGUGGUACUAGUGAAAGUGUCGCGUAGAAUUUUUCCCCGGAAAAGUAGUGGAAUUGAAAGUGACUCGAUGAGCACCGUUUUGUGAGGGAGGGGAAUCGAAGAUCAAAAAGUGGAAGAAAAACACAAAGUUUGGAAUGGUGCGGUAGCCCGAUAAAGUGUCGAUAAGUCGUUCAGAGGGUUGUGUUGUAGCAUCUUUGUUCGUUGCCAAGACGAUUAAACGAACGAGACGUCCACCAUCAGCAGGAGCAGCGGAGUACUUUCAUCCUUCCAGUGCAUGCUCGAAAUGGCUGGUCUGCCAAUUAAGCCGGCCGUCUCCAUGUUAUGGCGGCAUACGGUGACCCUUCGAUGAUCUCUCCUCCGUCUUCCAUCUCAAACGGCCCGGAGCCCCAGUUACCGCCGUUACCACCACCGUUACGCUCGACGCAAGUGUUACAGCCCCUGUCCGUGUACCCAGUGUCAGCCUUGAGUCAGGAAGCGACGUAUGAUUAUGUCUUUGGGGGGCCCCUGGACUCGCAUGCCCUGUCGUCAACGCUUAAGCUGACCUCGCCGCCCAUACGACUGCGCUCGGACGUGUACCGUUCCCAAUCGCUCGACUCGCAGCGCAGCAGUGGCGUAGACGAUGGACGUUCGUCGUCCGCCCAGCAGCAGCAGCACUCACAGCAUCACCAUCACUCACUGCAGCACUCGCAGCACUCGUCGUCGCAGCAUCAGUACUCGCAUCAGCCCAGCUGCCACUCCCAGUCGCAGUCCCGUGCCAGCUCCCUCAAGCGGUCCUCGUCGCGGUACAUAAACUGCAACGACGGCACCGCCUCGAUUGGCUCCCGGAAGAGCAACCGAAGCGAUGGGGAGGACGAGGACUCCUUGCGUCAAUUGCUUAUCGAACUGCAGAAGCAGGUCAGCGUGAUGAGUAUGAACCUUUCGGCGAAGCUGGACGAUCUGCAGCGGGGUGACCGGCACCUGGAGACGACGGUCGCCCUCUGCGAGAUCCGGACGCAGCUGCAGGAGCUCACCAAGUCGGUGGAGAGCUGCCAGUCCGAGGUGUCGGAGGUGAAACGUGAUAUGGUACAAAUCAAGCACGAGCUCGAUACGGUGCAACAGGUGAAGGAGGAAAUCGAAGAGCUGCGGGAGUACGUGGACCGGCUCGAGGAGCACACACACCGCCGGAAGUUGCGCCUGCUGGAGCAAGGACUGACGUUCUUCCUGACGUACGCGAUCUUCGCGGCCGUGCUCGGGAUGCUGCAGUUCGGGUACAACACGGGCGUGAUCAACGCGCCCGAGGUCAACAUCGAGAACUUCAUGAAGGACGUGUACAAGGACCGGUACGGCGAGGACAUCAGCGAGGAGUUCAUCCAGCAGCUGUACUCGGUCGCGGUGUCGAUCUUCGCGAUCGGCGGCAUGCUCGGCGGCUUCAGCGGCGGCUGGAUGGCGAACCGGUUCGGGAGGAAAGGUGGCCUGCUGAUGAACAACGUGCUCGGCAUCACGGGCGCGUGCCUGAUGGGAUUCACAAAGAUGAGUCAUUCCUAUGAAAUUCUAUUCCUCGGACGAUUUAUAAUUGGUGUCAAUUGUGGCUUAAACACAUCAUUAGUACCAAUGUAUAUAUCUGAAAUUGCUCCAUUAAAUUUAAGAGGUGGUUUAGGUACCGUUAACCAAUUGGCUGUGACCGUAGGAUUAUUAUUAUCACAAGUACUGGGUAUAGAACAAAUUUUAGGAACUAAUGAUGGCUGGCCCGUGCUGUUAGGGUUGGCCAUCUGUCCAGCUAUACUGCAAUUACUACUCUUACCUAUUUGUCCCGAAUCACCUAGAUAUUUACUAAUUACAAAGCAGUGGGAAGAGGAGGCGCGAAAGGCUCUCCGGAGGCUCCGGGCGUCCAACCAGGUCGAGGAGGACAUCGAGGAGAUGCGAGCCGAGGAGCGGGCCCAGCAGUCGGAGAGCAGCAUAUCGACCAUCGAACUGAUAUGCUCGCCGACGCUGCGGGCGCCCCUCAUGAUCGGAAUUGUGAUGCAGCUGAGCCAGCAGUUUAGUGGAAUUAAUGCCGUAUUCUACUACUCGACGUCGCUCUUCAUGAGCUCGGGCCUGACGGAGGAGAGUGCUAAAUUUGCCACAAUAGGAAUCGGUGCAAUAAUGGUUGUGAUGACACUCGUAUCAAUACCACUAAUGGAUAGAACCGGUCGACGGACGCUGCAUUUAUACGGAUUAGGCGGAAUGUUUAUAUUUUCAAUAUUCAUAACGAUAUCGUUUUUAAUAAAGGAGUUUUUUGGUUACGUGCAGGAAAUGAUCGACUGGAUGUCCUACCUGUCGGUGGUGUCGACGCUGGCGUUCGUCGUGUUCUUCGCCGUCGGGCCGGGCUCGAUCCCGUGGAUGAUCACUGCCGAGCUGUUCAGCCAGGGGCCGCGGCCGAGCGCGAUGGCCAUCGCGGUGCUCGUCAACUGGAUGGCGAACUUCGUCGUUGGAAUUGGUUUCCCAAGUUUAAAGACUGCCUUGGAAAAUUAUACAUUCCUACCGUUUAGUGUAUUUUUAGCAAUAUUUUGGAUAUUUACAUAUAAAAAGGUUCCUGAGACCAAAAACAAAACGUUCGAAGAAAUUUUAGCACUAUUUAGGCACGGGAAUGGAAGAAACCUUCGUGAAAGUAGACUGUACGGAGUGUGCGAAUUUCAGGAGUAUGCUAAACUGCGUAAAUAAUCUGGAGCCGCAAAGUAUGAACUCGGGCAUCGAACGGGCCGCGCUGAUGAUCUCCGAGGAAAAGACCCAGCACGACUCACAGCGUUGUUCCGGAGACGCCACAAGAAAUACUCAAAUGCGAACUGCUACCUGUGCGCCUCAUCACCAUCAUCAGCAAGUACCUGUCUGCCAGAACACAGGGCCUUGACUGAAGAGCACCGCCUCGACCCCUAACUC
rnacentral:misc_RNA from 1 species